AGUGAACGCUGGCGGUAGGCCUAACACAUGCAAGUCGAACGGCAGCACAGUAAGAGCUUGCUCUUACGGGUGGCGAGUGGCGGACGGGUGAGGUAUACAUCGGAAUCUACUUUUUCGUGGGGGAUAACGUAGGGAAACUUACGCUAAUACCGCAUACGACCUACGGGUGAAAGCAGGGGAUCUUCGGACCUUGCGCGAUUGAAUGAGCCGAUGUCGGAUUAGCUAGUUGGCGGGGUAAAGGCCCACCAAGGCGACGCUCCGUAGCUGGUCUGAGAGGAUGAUCAGCCACACUGGAACUGAGACACGGUCCAGACUCCUACGGGAGGCCGCAGUGGGGAAUAUUGGACAAUGGGCGCAAGCCUGAUCCAGCCAUACCGCGUGGGUGAAGAAGGCCUUCGGGUUGUAAAGCCAUUUUGUUGGGAAAGAAAAGCAGCAGGUUAAUACCCCGCUGUUCUGACGGUACCCAAAGAAUAAGCACCGGCUAACUUCGUG
rnacentral:rRNA from 1 species